rnacentral:tRNA from 1 species
GGAUAUAGCUCAGUGGAAAAGCACCUGCCUAGCAUGCACGAGGCCCUGGGUUCAAUCCCCAGUACUG